GCGAACGCUGGCGGCGUGCCUAACACAUGCAAGUCGCACGUGAAAGGGAGCAAUCCCAAGUAAAGUGGCGUACGGGUGAGUAACACGUAGGUAAUCUACCCCAGAAUCUGGAAUAACCGGCCGAAAGGCUGGCUAAUACUGGAUAGAGCGACGGAAUCCGUAAUUGGGUUUUUCGGGAAAGGGAGCCUGUAAAAAGGCCUUCGUUCUGGGAUGAGCCUGCGUCCCAUCAGCUAGUUGGUGAGGUAAAAGCUUACCAAGGCAAUGACGGGUAGCUGGUCUGAGAGGACGAUCAGCCACACUGGAACUGAAACACGGUCCAGACUCCUACGGGAGGCAGCAGUGGGGAAUCUUGCGCAAUGGACGAAAGUCUGACGCAGCAACGCCGCGUGAGUGAAGAAGGCCUUCGGGUUGUAAAGCUCUGUCGAGUGGGACGAAAAUGCUUGGAGUUCACAGCUCCAGGAACUGACGGUACCACUAAAGGAAGCACCGGCUAACUCCGUG
rnacentral:rRNA from 1 species